UACAGAGGUGGCAAGCGUUGUUCGGAAUUACUGGGCGUAAAGCGCACGUAGGCGGACUAUUAAGUCAGGGGUGAAAUCCCGGGGCUCAACCCCGGAACUGCCUUUGAUACUGGUAGUCUCGAGUCCGGAAGAGGUGAGUGGAAUUCCGAGUGUAGAGGUGAAAUUCGUAGAUAUUCGGAGGAACACCAGUGGCGAAGGCGGCUCACUGGUCCGGUACUGACGCUGAGGUGCGAAAGCGUGGGGAGCAAACAGG
rnacentral:rRNA from 1 species